UUUCUCAAGAUAAUGAUCAUAUAUAAUCUCUUUUCAGUGCAUAUGUAUUGGGGAUGCUCCCAGCUGAGCCGUGACACAAUCUGUGAGAGAUGGCUUUCACCUGGCACUCUAAUACAUGUCUAUAGCACCUGAUGGCACAAGCUGUGGCCUGUGAACAAGAUGAACAAAGAGUUUUGGUGGUGAAUAUCUUCUCUCCUGAGAAUCUGGACUGUGGACUAAGAAACUCAAGGCCUCAGAGGAGAACUGACAUCUGCAAGCUGUGAAGCCAUUUCUUGGCCCUUGUUGAUACAGUUAUCCAAGUUCUAUGGCCUUAGUGUUGACUCAGCAGCAGAAGAGUAUGUUUCUAAAAUAGAAGACUCUGCAUUCUGUGGAAGAAGCACCAUGCUACCCAACUCCAUCCCUAACCCUAAACCAGUUGCUGAGCAUCCUAACUUCUUAGCAGAGGUUGUGAAUGAAUGCUGCUGCCCCAAGGUGGCCCCUGGUUUGAAGGACAUGCUGCAGCAUCCCCCUGAACUGAGAUUAUUGAGGGUACCUGGAGACUCUGGCCUAGGAACAUGGAAAGAAGAAACAAAGG
rnacentral:lncRNA from 1 species